GAUGAACGCUAGCGGCAGGCCUAAUACAUGCAAGUCGGACGGGAUUGAGGAGCUUGCUUCUCAUGAGAGUGGCGCACGGGUGCGUAACACGUAUGUAACCUACCUUACUCAGGGGGAUAGCCUCUCGAAAGAGAGAUUACCAUCGUAUAACAUGAUGAGAUAGCAUUAUUUUAUCAUCAAAUAUUUAUAGGAUUAAGAUGGGCAUGCGGGACAUUAGCUAGUUGGCGGGGUAACGGCCCACCAAGGCGACGAUGUCUAGGGGAUCUGAGAGGAUGGCCCCCCACACUGGUACUGAGACACGGACCCGACUCCUACGGGAGGCAGCAGUAAGGAAUAUUGGUCAAUGGGCGCAAGCCUGAACCAGCCAUGCCGCGUGCAGGAAGACGGCCCUACGGGUUGUAAACUGCUUUUGUACGGGAAUAAACCUUGAUACGUGUAUCAAGCUGAAUGUACUGUAAGAAUAAGGAUCGGCUAACUCCGUGCCAGCAGCCGCAGUAA
rnacentral:rRNA from 1 species